CAGCCGCCGCGGUAAUACAGAGGGUGCGAGCGUUAAUCGGAUUUACUGGGCGUAAAGCGUGCGUAGGCUGCUUCUUAAGUCGGAUGUGAAAUCCCUGAGCUUAACUUAGGAAUUGCAUUCGAUACUGGGAAGCUAGAGUAUGGGAGAGGAUGGUAGAAUUCCAGGUGUAGCGGUGAAAUGCGUAGAGAUCUGGAGGAAUACCGAUGGCGAAGGCAGCCAUCUGGCCUAAUACUGACGCUGAGGUACGAAAGCAUGGGGAGCAAACAGGAUUAGAGACCCCCGUAGUCCCUGUCUCUUAUAC
rnacentral:rRNA from 1 species